GCUAAGGUAGUGCCGGCGUGCGCGGUAUGACGUAGGGUGCGAGGUGGGGCCGGAAUUAGUGGGCGUAAAGAGCGCGUAGGCGGCUUGUCGGGUCGGAUGUGAAAGCCCGGGGCUUAACUCCGGUUCUGCAUUCGAUACGGGCAGGCUAGAGUUCGGUAGGGGAGAUCGGAAUUCCUGGUGGAGCGGUGAAAUGCGCAGAUAUCAGGAGGAACACCGGUGGCGAAGGCGGAUCUCUGGGCCGAUACUGACGCUGAGGAGCGAAAGCGUGGGGAGCGAACAGGAUUAGAUACCCUAGUAGUC
rnacentral:rRNA from 1 species